AUACCAGACUCCUACGGGAGGCAGCAGUGGGGGAUAUUGCACAAUGGGGGAAACCCUGAUGCAGCGACGCCGCGUGAGUGAAGAAGUAAUUCGUUACGUAAAGCUCUAUCAGCAGGGAAGAAAAUGACGGUACCUGACUAAGAAGCCCCGGCUAACUACGUGCCAGCAGCCGCGGUAAUACGUAGGGGGCAAGCGUUAUCCGGAUUUACUGGGUGUAAAGGGAGCGUAGACGGCGGUGCAAGCCAGAUGUGAAAGCCCGGGGCUCAACCCCGGGACUGCAUUUGGAACUGUGCUGCUAGAGUGUCGGAGAGGCAGGCGGAAUUCCUAGUGUAGCGGUGAAAUGCGUAGAUAUCAGGAGGAACACCGGUGGCGAAGGCGGCCUGCUGGACUGCAACUGACGUUGAGGCCCGAAAGCGUGGGGAGCAAACAGGAUUAGAUACCCUAGUACC
rnacentral:rRNA from 1 species